rnacentral:rRNA from 1 species
UACGGGGGGGGCAAGCGUUGUUCGGAAUUACUGGGCGUAAAGGGCUCGUAGGCGGCCAACUAAGUCCGACGUGAAAACCCCAGGCUUAACCUGGGAACUGCGUCGGAUACUGGUUGGCUUGAAUCCGGGAGAGGGAUGCGGAAUUCCAGGUGUAGCGGUGAAAUGCGUAGAUAUCUGGAGGAACACCGGUGGCGAAGGCGGCGACCUGGUCCUUGACUGACGCUGAGGCGCGAAAGCGUGGGGAGCAAACAGG